rnacentral:rRNA from 1 species
UACAGAGGGUGCAAGCGUUAAUCGGAAUUACUGGGCGUAAAGCGCGCGUAGGUGGUUGUGUAAGUUGGAUGUGAAAGCCCCGGGCUUAACCUGGGAACUGCAUUCAAAACUGUAUGACUAGAGUAGAGUAGAGGGAAGUGGAAUUUCCGGUGUAGCGGUGAAAUGCGUAGAUAUCGGAAAGAACACCAGUGGCGAAGGCGGCUUCCUGGACUCAUACUGACGUUGAGGCGCGAAAGCGUGGGUAGCAAACAGGAUUAGAUACCCUUGUAGU